CUGUCUCUCAAAAAGGAAGUUAAAGGAAGGAGAGGUGGGGGAUGUGCUCUUUUCAAAUGUGCAAACGUUUAUACGAGUCUGGGGCAAGAAGUAACGAAGUACCAAAAGUUAACCUCCCUUGAGUGGUGGUGGGGGGGGGGGAGAAAUUGCAUUUGAAAAAUCCGGAGGCUUUCUCCUAAAACUGAUUUCAUGUCAGCACAGGAUUUGGUUCUAAGCUUUUGUGUUUUCUGGUGCUAAUAUAUAAACCAGACUGCAGCACAAGUCUUUUUAAUCGUUUGUAAAGCAAGACUUUACAAAACCUGUUUCCGGCUUCCUCAACUUGAUGCUUUCCUGAUAUCUUCCCAUUGCUGCCUUCCUAGCAGAGAAACAUGAGAUCUAUGUGAUUUUUAUUCAGAGACAUUUGAGUAGCGUUGGGUCAAUCACUUGCAUGUGUCUGGUUUGACAAGGCCUCUGCUGAGUAAUGCAAGAAAAGAAGAUGGGAGUCUCGGCACCUGGGACCAGUUUGUAUUUCAACAUGCUGGAUAAUGGAACAUACGAGUCUACAGCCUUGUGCAAUUCUUGGAGUUGUUGUGGCCAGAUCUGUAUUACAUCAGGUUGGAGAUGUUGAGUAUAUACUUGAUAUGGAAACAAACCCAUGAAAACAAUACGUCUCCACUUUAAGUUGUGUCCCAUUUCUUGGAUGCUGCCUGGACAAGUAAUUUUCUUGGCAAGAUUUUUCAGAAGUGAUUUUUCAAAAUUCAGAGAACAACCAAAAUGCAUUAGGAUUACAACUGCAUGGGCUUCAGCUACAGCAAAUUCAUGGAGGAGCCUGUAAGGAGGGAAGGUGUUCCACAAGUAGGAGCAGCCUUGGAAAAGGCAUACCUCCUACGUUCUGCUAGAUGGCAGAUUUCAGGGAAGAGACCGAAGGUAUGUCUAUCCUAUGUGAUCUGGUGGGAUGGAGGCAGAUGUUCUCAGGGAAAGACCAUCUUGCAAACAACCUGGUCCUAUUCAAUUUAGGGCUUUAAAUGUGACUAGCAUCUUGAAUUGGACCUAGAAGGAAACGGAGUGUUCAUGCAAUUUAUGCAACUGGUGAAACUGGAAGCUCCCAACACUCUAUGCACCGCUGCAUUCUGGACCAGUUGUAGCUUGUGGACAGUCUUCUAAGGCAAUCCAAUGUAGAGUGCAUUCCAGUAGUUCAAAUGGGAACCGACCAGGGUAUGAAUGACCUAAUAUUUUGAGGCAGACAUCAAGUAUUGCAAGAACUCUGGAAUAAAGACUUGCUGGGAUUUUUUUCAAAUCAAAGUCUUAAAGAAUACAGUAUCAAGUAUGCUUCGUCAUUCUUAAGAAGAGAUUAAUUCAAGAGUCAAAUACCACUUUUUUUUCUGUUUACUGGACAUUUCAAAUAAUGUUUAGAAAGAGUUGUCUGUUUCUUUAAACUGAAAGUAUAAUAUGAAAGGGA